rnacentral:rRNA from 1 species
UACGUAGGGUGCAAGCGUUAAUCGGAAUUACUGGGCGUAAAGCGUGCGCAGGCGGUUUGCUAAGUCAGGCGUGAAAUUCCCGGGCUUAACCUGGGAACUGCGCUUGUUACUGGCAGGCUGGAGUGUGGCAGAGGGGGGUAGAAUUCCACGUGUAGCAGUGAAAUGCGUAGAGAUGUGGAGGAAUACCGAUGGCGAAGGCAGCCCCCUGGGUUAACACUGACGCUCAUGCACGAAAGCGUGGGGAGCAAACAGG